CAGCAGCCGCGGUAAAACGGAGGGUGCAAGCGUUAUCCGGAUUUAUUGGGUUUAAAGGGUCCGUAGGCGGAUCUGUAAGUCAGUGGUGAAAUCUCACAGCUUAACUGUGAAACUGCCAUUGAUACUGCAGGUCUUGAGUAAAUUUGAAGUGGCUGGAAUAAGUAGUGUAGCGGUGAAAUGCAUAGAUAUUACUUAGAACACCAAUUGCGAAGGCAGGUCACUAAGAUUUAACUGACGCUGAUGGACGAAAGCGUGGGGAGCGAACAGGAUUAGAUACCCCGGUAGUCCCUGUCUCUUAUAC
rnacentral:rRNA from 1 species